UACCUUUAUUACGUGUUGUUCUCUUCUAUCUGUUGUUUUGUCACAUUGUACACCUGUUGACUAAAAUUCUGAUUCAUUUACUUAUUUAUUUCGGACACUUUGUAACUCAUGACACAACUAUUAUCUUUACGGCUGACUUCUCUCCUGUAAUCCUGAUACCUAUUAAUGUUUGUAAUUAAAUUUUCUGAGUUUUGACCUAUAUUCUAAUUUACUUUUCUUACCAAACGCGACUCCAGUAAUCGGAAAUUUUGUAAACGUGUAGUCUAAUAUUUGUUUUUAAGGGUUUGUUUUCUUUUUUUUCUUUCGUUCUGUCCAUUUGCAUUGCUUUGAUUAUGUUUAUUUGUUCAGACAUUUUGUAGUUAAUGACAUUCCAAUUAGAACUUUAACGGUUCCAAUUUUUACAGCCCUAGUGAAUUUAUUUGUUAAUUUGCGUUUUGUUGAUUGAGAUAAGCCUUCCAUUGAUAUCUUUUAACUGUGUCUUUCUAUGUUGUGGUGUUAUACUAUUAUUUCAGAAAAGGGAGAAGGUUUGGUACCAUACAAAAGUUUAAUCCUGCUGCAAAUUCAUUAUUUUGCAGUAGUCAAUAUGCAAAAAAAAAAUAA
rnacentral:lncRNA from 1 species